UUUUUUUUUUUUUUUUUAGGCUCAUACAGACUUUUGUGCCUUUUGAUAUCUAUAUUUUUAUUUUUUAAAGAGAAACAAAACUUGAAUUGUUUAAUGCACCACCCACCAAACCUUGACAUUUAAUUAAUAUGGCACCUGCUCAAAGAAAAUAAUGAUAAUAAUUCCUUUCACUUCCAGGAACAAAUAAAAUCAAAAGCUUGACCCCCGCAGCUUUUCUUCACCACUUUGAUUCCAAUUUCUUUUUUUUCUUUUUUUUUUUGUAGCCAAGUAAACAAAUCCCAAAAAGUUAGCCCGUUCAUAAAUAUAUAUAUAUAUAUAGAAUAUUUGAAACCCUAAACAAUACAUUUCCUUUUCUUUUUGCCUCCAGCCGCCAAGCUCCCUAAACAAUACAUUUCCUUUCUCAGCCGUCCCUCUCUCUCUAAAACAGAGACCAAGCUUCUUCAUUUUCAAGAAAAGCUUUGCUUCUAUAAUAUUAGAUGCCACUGUCGUGCUCUCUUUCUUUAACAAAGAGAGACCCAACUUUCUUCUUCUUUUUUUUUUGGUCUUCGGCAACCCAGUGGCACAAUCUCACUAAUGUUUUUUUUUAAUUUAUUUGCAGGAGAUCAAACUCCAAGGACCCAUUUCGGCACAAUUUCUCUCCAAACUGAGAUCAACCCAGGCUUCAUCUUCUUCAAAGAAGCUCCGUAUUUGUAAUACCACAGGGCCAUUUCAUUUGCUCACUGCUCGUUGGUGCAACUCCGAGCGCCGUCGUCAUCGCCCCUAUUCCAGCAUCGUGACCCAAGCUGCUGCUCACCAUCAGUGUUUCCCUUCAAUUUAAUGAUACAGUCCCUCAGAGAUCCAGGCACACCGUAGCUCUGUUCUGCUGCAAGUGUCAAUGCUAAUCCCGCUGUGACGUUGCUGCUACUGUCGGCCUCUACUGCUGCUUCUAUCCGUGACUGACCAGCGCUGGCCACGCCGCCCACUCAGCGCGGUGUUGGCCUACCCAGCAUCGUUCUAGCCCAUUGUUCACGCACGCUGCUCGCGUCGUCAUCAAUCUACUAUGAAACCCAUUUUUGGUGGGCCUUGGUCUUCCUCUCAACUAUUUUUAUUCCUUUGACUGUAUUAGAUUUGUAAAUACAAGCUUAAAACCCUUUUUGUCAAACCCAUUCUCAGCUCACUCUCUCUAACAGAGACAGAUUCAGAGUUCCUCUUCUUCAAGGGGCUCUGCUUCGCGGUUUGCUCACUACCGAUUGCUGCAAUUCUGGGCACCGACUGCUGCAACUCUGAGUGCGUCGCCAACCUGUCACAGCCCCGACUACUGCAGGUGUCGUGACCCAAGCUGCUACUGACCUCUCUUUGCUGCAACUCCGACCACUGUUGGCUUCAACGGUCCCAACGCAGACCACACACGUUCGCCCACUCAACGCAACGUGUGUGGUUUUGCCCAGCCUAGCUCAAUCUUGUUGAUCUUGAUCGACGCCGACUCCACUACAUCUUCAACACUGCCUUCGUCCUCAAUUGUCCAACGCCGACCACGCACGUUCGCCCACUCAACGCAACGUACGUGGUCUUGCCCAGCCUAGCUUAGUCCUGUUGAUUACAGUCUACAAAACCUUUCUGAUUUCAACUUGAAUUUCCAACAUCGGCUUCGAACUUCACCCCUCUAACAGUCCCAAAUUUUUUUACGUCGGCUUGAGAGGAACCAGCUCGGAGAGACAAAAACUUGAUUGUUGCAUUUUCAUGAACUUGCUCAGAGCAAAUGAAUUCUUGAUUGAAAUCCACGACCUCGGGGCCCUUGGAACCCGCACUAAUGAGAGCAAGGGCUCGGAGGUCCGAACAAAAGCAAGACUGUCCCUCGGGAGUCCGAAGGUAGCACACACCCUACUUUGGCAAGAAAGAUUCCUCUGGAAGAUAACCGAGUCUACCAAGCUUCUACCAACAGAAGUAAAGACUGUCUCUCAGAAGUCCGAGCAGAAGCAAGGCUGUCCCUCGGAAGUCCGAGCAGAAACAAGGCUGUCCCUCGGAAGUCCGAGCAGAAACAAGGCUGUCCCUCGGAAG